rnacentral:rRNA from 1 species
AUACGGAGGGUGCAAGCGUUAAUCGGAAUUACUGGGCGUAAAGCGCUCGUAGGCGGCUUGUUAAGUCGGAUGUGAAAGCCCCGGGCUCAACCUGGGAACUGCAUUCGAUACUGGCAAGCUAGAGUAUAGAAGAGGCAAGUGGAAUUCCAGGUGUAGCGGUGAAAUGCGUAGAUAUCUGGAGGAACAUCAGUGGCGAAGGCGACUUGCUGGUCUAAUACUGACGCUGAGGAGCGAAAGCGUGGGGAGCAAACGGGAUUAGAUACCCCAGUAGUCC